CCCUCCCGCCGCCCCCACGCCCCCCUUUUUUUUUUCAUCGCGUACAAGCAAAUGCACACGGUCGUUUUGUAUAUAACGUACCCGAUACAAUUAGCGGGUGCCCGCGCGCGGGUCUGUGUCGAUUUUGUUUUUUGUUUUUUUUCGAAAUUGUCGGUCAAAAAUACGAAAGAGAAAGCGCGCGAUUUUCUCAACGAAAACUGUGUAAGUGUUCGGUAAGAAUCGAAAACCGCACAAACGUUUGUACAUUAAUUAGAAGUCCUAUUUGAGAUCGUAAAUGAUGUAUCGUAAAAAAUGAACCGAUUGUAUUAUCGAUUCGCCCGAACUUGUCCGACGGACGUCGCGAAAAUCGUCUCGCGUCGUCGUCGUCGUCGUCGACGAUAUUUAUCGUCGUUAUCAAAUAUAUAUGUACAUGUGUAUAUUGUAUUAUUAUUAUUAUUAUUAUUAAACUGUCAAUUAACCGAGAAACAAAAAUGAAAAAAAAAAUGUUGUAUUAUACAAUUUACGUCAGCGAAACAAUAUUAUAAUUAUUGUAAUAAAUCCACGUAUGUGGGCGUUGGUGCGGCAACGCUCGUCGAUAUAUUAUUUUUAUUAUUAUUAAAUAUACGUAUCAUUAUUAUUAUUAUUAUUAUUAUUAUUAUUAUUUUGUACAUUUUUUUUUUUUUUUAUCCAUCGACAAUAAUAAUGAAUUUAUAUUAAUAUUCA